rnacentral:rRNA from 1 species
UAAACAUUGAUAUUUGUUACACUCAAUAUCCGCCCGGGUACUACGAGCAUGAGCUUAAAACCCAAAGGACUUGGCGGUGCUUAAGAUCCCCCUAGAGGAGCCUGUUCUAGAACCGAUAAUCCCCGUUUAACCUCACCCUCUUUUGCCUUUUCCGCCUAUAUACCGCCGUCGUCAGCUUACCCCAUGAGGGACUAAUAGUGAGCAAAAAUGGCACAGCCUAAAACGUCAGGUCGAGGUGUAGCAUAUGAGAGGGGAAGAAAUGGGCUACAUUCUCUAAAAUAGAGAACACGGAUAAUAUAUUGAAAUAUAUAUUUUAAGGAGGAUUUAGUAGUAAGUAAAAAUCAGAGUGUUUCACUGAACUAGGCCCUAAAGCGUGC